rnacentral:rRNA from 1 species
CGGACGGGUGAGUAACGCGUGGGUAACCUGCCAUAUACAGGGGGAUAACACUUAGAAAUAGGUGCUAAUACCGCAUAAGCGCACAGCUUCGCAUGAAGCGGUGUGAAAAACUCUGGUGGUAUACGAUGGUUCCGCGUCUGAUUAGCUAGUUGGUGGGGUAAUGGCCUACCAAGGCAACGAUCAGUAGCCGGCCUGAGAGGGUGAACGGCCACAUUGGGACUGAGACACGGCCCAAACUCCUACGGAAGGCAGCAG